rnacentral:rRNA from 1 species
GACGAACGCUGGCGGCGUGCUUAACACAUGCAAGUCGAACGGAAAGGCCCUGCUUUUGUGGGUUGCUCGAGUGGCGAACGGGUGAGUAACACGUGAGUAACCUGCCCUUGACUUUGGGAUAACUUCAGGAAACUGGGGCUAAUACCGGAUAGGAGCUCCUGCUGCAUGGUGUGGGUUGGAAAGUUUCGGCGGUUGGGGAUGCACUCGCGGCUUAUCAGCUUGUUGGUGGGGUAGUGGCUUACCAAGGCUUUGACGGGUAGCCGGCCUGGGAGGGUGACCGGCCACAUCGGCACUGAGAUAAUGCCCACACUCAUACGGGAGGCAACAGUGGGGUAUAUUGAACAAUGCGCGGAAGCCUAAUGCAGCAACGCCGCGUGCGGGAUAACGGCCUUCAGGUUGUAAACCGCUUUCGCCUGUGACGAAGCGUGAGUGACGGCAAUGGAUAAAGAAGCACCGGCUAACUACGUG